rnacentral:rRNA from 1 species
GGUCGAAAGGGGAAAUUCAUUCGCGUUUCGACAGUUGGAGUUGGACGAUGUGACGGAUGGCGUUCGCGUCGUCCGCACCCUUCGUUCAUCUAACCGAUGUCGAACGCGUGCACUUUUCCCCUAGUAGGACGUCGCGAUCCGUUGGGUGUCUGUCUAAGACUCGGGGUGGAGCCCGUGGGACUUUAAUGUCGUGCGGACCCUCGGUGUUCCGACAGACUCGCUCGACGGUAUACAAAUGGCGCGGGGCCGCUAAUUAGUUAGCGUUCGGCCCGUAGCAAGCACGUUCUGCGUUUGACGGCGAUCGGACUUGGUGCCGAUUCUGUCCCAGAACGACUGUUGGUUACGGUGUUCUCGAACAGACCUCG